rnacentral:lncRNA from 1 species
AUGUGAAGAAGAAAUGUUGGUGCUAUAUGAACAUUUACAAAAUUAAAAGAUCAUAAAGAACUGUGCGGAAGCCUCAAACUUUGCGGGAAGAUGAAAAUGAACAAUGUACACUCAGAAGAUUGUAUUUAUAUUUGAUCAAAUAUUGUUUUAUAAUUUUGAAUAUGUAUGCUAUAGAAUAUUUUAAUGAAAAAUAUUGGAGAACUUGUUUUAAAUUUUAGGGAAUGGCUAUUCAUGUUUGAGGGCAAACAUUAUUUUUCAAAGGUGGGGAGAGUGUAACAAAAUGGGGGUUCUUUGAAAUGGAACUUGUUUUCCCUAAAAUUGUGUGAUGAUGUUGUUAAAACCUUACCGUUUAUUGACUGUUUUUAUUUUA